GGGCUGUAAAUGACUUUAAGAUUAUAAAUAAAUAGAAAUUAAAUGUGCGAGUGACAUGUAAUUUAAUGAUCUUGUUAGGUAUUGAAGAAUUGGCAUUUGGUGAGCAAAUUAAGAUGAAUAGGAGAUGCUAGGAACAAGGAGCGUGACAUGCCUCAGGGUUAUGAGAAUAAUAAAAUAUUAAAUGAUGAUAUUGUUUUUAGAAGCUAUGUAUGGAUUUUAAUACCUGAACAUAGUUGUUUAGUAAUUGAAGUUUUAAAGAGGCUGCGUGUUAUUGUAUG